UUUUGAAAGGGAAACGAUUGAAGUCAGUCGUGCUGGCGCGAAAUCAACCCUCUCGUCUUGAGAUCACAUGGCGCGACGAGCCUCAAAACCGUCACGAAGCGUGAACUCUUGACGAAAAGGUGCACUUUCGUGUCCGUGGUUAACAUCAAUUUCGAACGUUCAUAAAACAGGUGGAGGGAUGUGGCUCCUCGGGAGUGUUAUAACCUUUAGCGGAAUGUGGUGUUCGGGAUUGAGGAUUGCAACGAAUACCUUCAGGGCUGUUCCACCUGGCUUCUCAUUGGUAUCCUGGUGACGACAGCUUGCUGACGUCGUUAGAUCCAGCUCUGAAAGGCUUAGAGUGUGAACAAAUUCGUUAA
rnacentral:rRNA from 1 species